GACGAACGCUGGCGGCGUGCUUAACACAUGCAAGUCGAACGGAAAGGCCCUGCUUUUGUGGGGUGCUCGAGUGGCGAACGGGUGAGUAACACGUGAGUAACCUGCCCUUGACUUUGGGAUAACUUCAGGAAACUGGGGCUAAUACCGGAUAGGAGCUCCUGCUGCAUGGUGGGGGUUGGAAAGUUUCGGCGGUUGGGGAUGGACUCGCGGCUUAUCAGCUUGUUGGUGGGGUAGUGGCUUGCCAAGGCUUUGACGGGUAGCCGGCCUGAGAGGGUGACCGGCCACAUUGGGACUGAGAUACGGCCCAGACGCCUACGGGAGGCAGCAGUGGGGAAUAUUGCACAAUGGGCGGAAGCCUGAUGCAGCAACGCCGCGUGCGGGAUGACGGCCUUCGGGUUGUAAACCGCUUUCGCCUGUGACGAAGCGUGAGUGACGGUAAUGGGUAAAGAAGCACCGGCUAACUACGUG
rnacentral:rRNA from 1 species